rnacentral:rRNA from 1 species
UACGGGGGGGGCAAGCGUUGUUCGGAAUUACUGGGCGUAAAGGGCUCGUAGGUGGCCAACUAAGUCACACGUGAAAUCCCUCGGCUUAACCGGGGAACUGCGUGUGAUACUGGAUGGCUUGAGUUUGGGAGAGGGAUGCGGAAUUCCAGGUGUAGCGGUGAAAUGCGUAGAUAUCUGGAGGAACACCGGUGGCGAAGGCGGCAUCCUGGACCAUAACUGACGCUGAGGCGCGAAAGCUAGGGGAGCAAACAGG